rnacentral:rRNA from 1 species
CGUAGGUGGCAAGCGUUGUCCGGAUUUAUUGGGUUUAAAGGGUGCGUAGGCGGUCUAUUAAGUCAGUGGUGAAAUAUCGCAGCUUAACUGUGAGGGUGCCAUUGAUACUGAUGGACUUGAGUCAAGUCGAGGUAGCGGAAUUGACGGUGUAGCGGUGAAAUGCUUAGAUAUCGUCAAGAACACCAAUAGUGAAGACAGCUUACUAGGCUUAAACUGACGCUGAGGCACGAAAGUGUGGGGAUCAAACAGGAUUAGAUACCCUGGUAGUCCACACUGUAAACGUUGAUUACUCGCUGUUGGCGAUACACAGCCAGCGGCCAAGCGCAAGCGAUAAGUAAUCCACCUGGGGAGUACGCCGGCAACGGUG